CCGCCAGGCAUCGUGAAAACCACGCAAACCCUACACCUCUUGAAAACAGACAGCUGGACGUCCCCCACCACGUCUCAGGCACAAGGCGUGCGGCCCAGGCCGGGCGGCAGUGUUUCGAAUUUUGCUUCCAGUAUCCAGGCUCCUCGGCAAUCUAUAGCGUAAUUGUAUUCUGCCACCGAGCUCUCAGCAAUACCAUCGUGCAGACCUUCCAAAUGCUUAAUGUGGUCAUUAGCUGCGCAGCAUAGUAGAAAUUCGUGGAUAUGGUACAGGGUUGGGGAGAAGCUAUUUUUUAAACGGAGACAAAUAGCAGAACAGCUGCAGCCUUCUGCCAGGAGACUCUAUUUUCCUUGCUUCUUUAGGAGUUUGGAAUUAACUCCGGAGAGCGCGGUUGAAAAAUUAGAGUUGGACGGAACCAAAAUAACUCAGAAGGGGGGGUCCAGGCGUGGAGGGAAUGCUCUCCUGCGAGGGCACAAUGGCUCCUUCCUGCAGCCGACAGACAGCAGGCACCGCAGCGGGGAGAGGCCCAGGGAGGUGGCCGUCCUUCUGUGGCUGAGGUGGGGGAGUGCACAGCCCUGGUCCUGCCGUUUCAGUGUAAAAUUGCCUCCGAGCCAGUAGGAGAUUCCAACUUGUAGGAAGAGAAAAAUUGGAAAGAGGAAAAAAUGAGUCCAAAUCCGAAAAGUAACAUUAAGAAAUCUUUUCUUCAGGACUGGAGUGUUGGGUUUUGGUUUUUGGGUUUUGGCCCCGCCCACCCAUGGCAGGUGGACGUUCCUUGGGCCAGGGAUCCAACCCACUGUACCACCAGGGAACUCCUUGAUUGUGUGGCUAUUUAAAUUUGAAUUAAUUCAAUGAAAUUAAAAUUUCACCUCUUCAGUCUUGCCACAUUUCAGGUGCCGAAUGGCCACAUGGAGCUAGUGGCUACCAUCUUGGACUUUGUGCAUAGGGAACAUUUUCAUCAUUACAGAAGCUCUGUGGAACAGGGCUAUUGAAUCUAGGAUAAUAAGAGGAGAUAUUUGGUCUGGUCCCGCCUGUUUAUCCUAUAAACAGGGAAGCGUUAUCCGUUGAGGAAAUAUGAUUUUAUGAGAUUACGUUGGGGGCCUACAGGCAUUAUGGAUACACAUGCAGCUCUUGUCACUUGCCCUGAUCAGACCUGCAUCCUCAGGCUCUCAGCCUCCGGUUCUCAAACCUGGCUCCACCUUAGAAUCAUCUGGAGAGAUUUUCAAAUGCCCAAUGCUCGGCCCACAAAGCUGACCAAUGAAAUCAGAAUUUCUGGGGAGGCAGAUCAGGCAUCAGGUUUCUAAAAAAAACAGUAAACUGGGGAGUUCCUGUCAUGGCGCAGUGGAAACGAAUCCAACCAGGAACCAUGAGGUCUCGGGUUCUAUCCCUGGCCUCACUGAGUGGGUUAAGGAUCGGCGUUUCGGUGAGCUGUGGUGUAGGUCGCAGGUGCUGCUUGGAUUCGGCAUUGCUGUGGCCGUGGUGUAGAUGAGCAGCUGCAGCUCUGAUUGGACCCCUAACCUGGGAACCUCCAUAUGCUGUGGGUGCAGCCCUCAAAAGACAAAAAUAAAAUAAAAUAAAAUAAAAAAUAAAGAACAGUAAACUUUAGAAUAAUUUUAACUUUACAGAAAAUUUGCAAAAAUAAUGUGGAGAAUUCCCAUACACCCCCACCCCCCCCAGAUUUCCAUGUUAUUGAUAUCUUACAUUACUGUCCUACAUUUGUCACAAUUAAUAAGCCAAUAUCAAUGUAUUGGUCCAGACUUCAUUCAGAUUUCCUAAUGUCCCUUUUCUGUCCCAGGAUUCCAUCCAGGAUAGAUAUUAAAUUACAUUCGGUGGUCACGUCUCCUGAGGCUCCAGGGUCGUGACAGUACCUGAGACUUUCCUUGCUCGUGAUGACCUUGACAGUUUUGAAGCGCACUGGUCAGCAGAGACCAUGCUGGAUCCUUAAACAGCUGAGCCACCAGGGAGCUCCUAAGUGCACCAUUUUGGAAGGAAGUCACUGCCCAGCCCACAUUUGAGGAGUGGGGCAUUACCGUCCACUUCCUUGGGGUGAGGAUUGCUAUUGAUUUCUGUCCGUUGCAACCAGAAGUUUCCUGAGCAAUGGAAGUGGCCAAGGAUCCGGCUUGUGGAAAAUACUGAAAGAACGAAGCGUGUACCUGAAGAGCUGAAACUCCAAGGAUACCUGGAGCCACUGCAUCAAAGUACCGGGGACCCAGGCAAACAUCUUCUUGUUCAUUAAGUGAAGGUGUUAGACAAACAGGCAGGUCUGUGCCCGUGGGAACUCAGAUCCCCAGAAAACCCCAGGGGCCCGGCAAGUCGACAGGAUAAGCUGCGUUUCCUACGGUGCCUCUGCAGAGUCUGCACCAGCUCGGCACUUCCGGGUCACGUGGCCCUUGGUAAACCCCUUCCUCUCGGAGCCUUGAUUUCCUCAUCUGUCCAGUGAAUGGUAAUAAUACUUGUUUCACAGGCGCAUUCUGCAGCUUUCAUUGCACCCUGAGCUCUGUAGAAACUCCAUGAAUAUUGCUUUUCUCCCAUCCAUUCAUGUCCCUGAUGGAAGGCCAUCAAGGAGCCUGGACUGACUCUCCUUCCAGGCUAUUCUUCUAUAGAGGCUACCUUCCGCGCUUCUUCCACCAGUAGCCAUCUCCUCUGAGCUGUCCUGUUCGUAAUCAUCUCCCCUUUUCCGGGUAUGUUCCCUGCCCUUCGUCACAAAGAAGAAUUUCUGAUCAUGUGUGCAUUCCUUUCAGACUUGGAAAACGCCUGAUGUGGGAGUUAGGUUUUCUGUGGCCGGCUUGCCCCUCCUGGCCCGAGUCACCGGCGAAAGAUGACCUUCGGGCUGAAGACGGUGUGGACGCAAAUCAUCCGCUCUCAAGGCAGGGCUCUCUCGUUACCAUGUCUGCAUGAUGUUUCUCCUUCCCAGAGCUGAAGGAUAAAAAAAGAAUAAAAUCAUCAGGCAUUUUU
rnacentral:lncRNA from 1 species